GGGCUUAUGAUGAUAACAUACAAUUAUCUUAGCGGAUUUCAGUGAGCCCUCUUGGUCAAUGAUCUGAUUGUUACACACACUGAGGCUC